rnacentral:rRNA from 1 species
AUUGAACGCUGGCGGCAUGCCUUACACAUGCAAGUCGAACGGCAGCGGGGACUUCGGUCCGCCGGCGAGUGGCGAACGGGUGAGUAAAGCAUCGGAACGUACCCGGAAGUGGGGGAUAACGUAGCGAAAGUUACGCUAAUACCGCAUAUUCUGUGAGCAGGAAAGAGGGGGAUCUUCGGACCUCUUGCUUUCGGAGCGGCCGAUGUCAGAUUAGCUAGUUGGUGAGGUAAAGGCUCACCAAGGCGACGAUCUGUAGCGGGUCUGAGAGGAUGAUCCGCCACACUGGAACUGAGACAAGGUCCAGAAUCCUACGGGAGGCAGCAGUGGGGAAUUUUGGACAAGGGGCGCAAGCCUGAUCCAGCCAUGCCGCGUGAGUGAAGAAGGCCUUCGGGUUGUAAAGCUCUUUCGGCCGGGAAGAAAUCGUAUGGGUUAAUACCCUGUGCGGAUGACGGUACCGGCAUAAGAAGCACCGGCUAACUACGUGCCAGCCGCCGCGGUAACAC